rnacentral:rRNA from 1 species
AUUGAACGCUGGCGGCAUGCUUUACACAUGCAAGUCGAACGGUAACAGGGUGCUUGCACCGCUGACGAGUGGCGAACGGGUGAGUAAUGCGUCGGAACGUGCCGAGUAGUGGGGGAUAACGCAGCGAAGGUUGUGCUAAUACCGCAUACGUACUGAGGUAGAAAGUGGGGGACCUUCGGGCCUCACGCUAUUCGAGCGGCCGACGUCUGAUUAGCUAGUAGGUGAGGUAAAGGCUCACCUAGGCGACGAUCAGUAGUGGGUCUGAGAGGAUGAUCCGCCACACUGGGACUGAGACACGGCCCAGACUCCUACGGGAGGCAGCAGUGGGGAAUUUUGGACAAUGGGCGAAAGCCUGAUCCAGCCAUGCCGCGUGUCUGAAGAAGGCCUUCGGGUUGUAAAGGACUUUUGUCAGGGAGGAAAUCCCUAGUGCUAAUAACACUGGGGGAUGACAGUACCUGAAGAAUAAGCACCGGCUAACUACGUGCCAGCAGCCGCAGUAA